GGACUACAAGGGUAUCUAAUCCCUUUUGCUCCCCAUGCUUUCGUGCCUGAGCGUCAGUAACUGUCCAGGUAACCGCCUUCGCCUCUGGUGUUCCUCACGAUAUCUACGCAUUUCACUGCUACACCGUGAAUUCCGUUACCCUCUCCAGUACUCUAGUCGAGUAGUUUCAGACGCAGUUCCGAGGUUAAGCCUCGGGAUUUCACAUCUGACACACCCAACCGCCUGCGCACCCUUUACGCCCAGUGAAUCCGAAUAACGCUUGCAGUCUCUGUAUUACCGCGGCGGCUGGCAC
rnacentral:rRNA from 2 species